rnacentral:tRNA from 1 species
UCCUCGGUAGUAUAGUGGUCAGUAUCCCCGCCUGUCACGCGGGAGACCGGGUUCGAUUCCCCGGAGGAA